UACGAGAGGCCCAAACGUUAUUCGGAAUUACUGGGCGUAAAGAGCUCGUAGGUGGUUUGUCGCGUUGUUCGUGAAAACCGGGGGCUUAACCCUCGGCGUGCGGGCGAUACGGGCAGACUUGAGUACUGCAGGGGAGACUGGAAUUCCUGGUGUAGCGGUGGAAGUGCGGCAGAUAUCAGGAGGAACACCGGUGGCGAAGGCGGGUCUCUGGGCGAGUGAACUGACGCUGGAGGAGCGAAAGCGUGGGGAGCGAACAGG
rnacentral:rRNA from 1 species